GCUGGGUGUGGUGGUGUGCACCUGUAGUCCCAGCUACUUGAGAGGUUGAGGCUGGAGGAUCGCUUGAGCCCAGGAGUUCUGGGCUACAGUGCGCUAUGCCAAUCAGGUGUAUGCACUUAAGUUUGGCAUCAAUAUGGUGACCUUCUGGGAGCAGGGGACCACCAGGUUGCCUAAGGAGGGGGUGAACCGGCCCAGGUUGGAAAUGGAGCAGGUCAAAACUCCCGUGCUGAUCAGAAAAACAGAGGAAAAGUGAAAACAGGAGAGAAAAAAAGUAACACCUGCAACAU
rnacentral:SRP_RNA from 1 species